rnacentral:rRNA from 1 species
CCUACGGGUGGCAGCAGUGAGGAAUAUUGGUCAAUGGGCGUAAGCCUGAACCAGCCAAGUCGCGUGAGGGAUGAAGGUUCUAUGGAUCGUAAACUUCUUUUAUAGGGGAAUAAAGUGCGGGAUGUGUCCCGUUUUGUAUGUACCUUAUGAAUAAGGAUCGGCUACCUCCGUGCCAGCAGCCGCGGUAAUACGGAGGAUCCGAGCGUUAUCCGGAUUUAUUGGGUUUAAAGGGUGUGUAGGCGGCCUUUUAAGUCAGCGGUGAAAGCCUGUGGCUCAACCAUAGAAUUGCCUUGGAAACUGGGAGGCUUGAGUACGUUAGAGGCAGGCGGAAUGCGUGGUGUAGCGGUGAAAUGCGUAGAUAUAACGCAGAACCCC